rnacentral:lncRNA from 1 species
UACGAUUACUAGAUUGUUCAGAAUUGUUUUAAGAUCAUGAGUUGAUAUUUCAAUUUUGUUAAAUACUUUUUCUGUAUCCAUUAAGAUAAUCAUGUGUUUUUCUUAGUCAGUCAUUGUAGCCCAUUGUAUUGCUUGAUUUUCUUUAUUAAGGUAUAUUCAUUCCCAUAGAAAAUUCAUUUAAAAAUCAGUUAUUACCCACUCCCACCACUUCUAUUCAACAUAGUACUGGAAGUACUAUCAAGAGAGAGCAAUUAGACAAGAAAAAGAAAUUAAAGAUAUCUAAAUUGGAAAGGAAGAAGUAAAAUGAUCUCUCUUUGCACAUAAUGAAUUUUUGACAAGAGCACCAAAAAGACAAAAUGAGAAAAGGGUAGUCUCUUCAAUAAAUAGGUGCUGGAAUUUCCACAUGCAAAAGAAUGAAAUUAGACUCUUACAUUACACCAUACACAAAAAUCAAUCCAAAAUGGAUAAAAGAUCUGCUCAUACAUGUUAGGAUAGCUAUUAUCAAAAAGACAAGAGCUAACAAGUGUUGGUGAGGGUGUGGAGAAGAGGGAGCACUUGUACACUGUUAGUGGGAAUGUAUUAUAUAUUGGUGCAGCCAUUAUGGAAGACAGUAUGGAGGUUCCUAAGUAAAUUAAAAAUAGAACUACCAUAUGACCCAGCAAUCCCUCUUCUGGGUAUAUCCCCAAAGGGAAUGAGAUUAUCUCUGCACUCCCAAGUUUAUUGCAGCACAAUUCACAAUAGUCAAGAUACAGACACAACCUAGGUGUUCAUCAAUGGGCAAAUGGAUAAAGAAACUGUGAUAUAGAGAGAUCAAUAGAUAGAUAAUUAGAAUAUUAUUUAGCCUUUAAAAAGAAGGCAGUCCUGUCAUUUGCCAAAACAUGGAUAGACCUAGAAGACAUUAUGCUAAAUGAAAUAAGCCAGACACAGAAAGAAAAAUAUUGCGUGAUCUCACUUAUAUGUGGAAUCAAGAAAAAAAAGGUUAAAUAUAUAGAGAUAGAGAAUAAAACAGUAAUUACUAAGGUCAGGAUAAGGUGGAGGAAAUGAGAUGUAGGUCAAAGGAUGCAAAGUAGUAAAUAUGCAGGAUGAACAAGUGAAAAGAUCAAAGAUCAAAUGUACAACAUGAGGACUAUAGUUAAUACAUAUUGUAUAUUGUGUUCAGGACUUUUUGCUAAAUGAGUAGAUUAUACCUGCUCUUGCCAAUGGGGGAAUAAUCAGUAACUAUGUGAGAUGAUGGGUAUGUUCAUUGUUCCACUAUAGUUUUACUAUAUAUAUAUAUAUGUUUCAUUUAACAUUGUGUUGUAUACCUUAAUAUAGACAAUAAAAUUUAUUUAAAACAUAAAAAAAAUCAGGUUUAUUUUCUUAUUGUUGAGUUUAAAGAGUUCUUUGUAUAUUUUGGAUAAAAGUUCUCUAUCAGAAUGUCCUUUGCUAAUAUUUUAUCUCAGUCUGUGGCUUAUCUUCUCAUUCUUUUUACAUUGUCACAGGGUAGAAAUUUUUAAUUUUAAUGAAGUUCAGUUAAUCUAUUCUUUCUUCCAUUGGUUGUACUUUUGGUAUUGCUUCUAAAAAGUCAUUGCUAAACCCUAGGUCAACCAGAUUUUCUCCUAUGCUAUUUUACAGGAGUUUUAUAGUUUUUCAUUUUACACUUAGGUCUGUGGUCCAUUUUAAGAACAUUUUUAUGAAGGGUGUAAGGUCUGUGUCUAGCUCCCAUUCAAGGCUUAUUAUAUCUCACCUGGAGUGUCAGCCUGCCUGCAUUUCUUGUCCCCUCCAAUUCCAACUUGAAUUGACUAAAUUCCUGGUGAGUGUAGCCAAGAGUCAUGCCUCCAGGCUUCAGGCCAGCACUUGUGGAUGGAACCUCCAGGCCAGUACACCCAGGACCCAGCUCCAGGAUAACCUUGGCAGUCUCAGGCACCAGGCCAGCACCCACAGCCCUAGGACCCAGCCAUGACCUUAAGUACCCAGCUUCUAGGCCUGCCCCACUGCCAGGCCAGGCCCCAUAGCCCCAGACUCCAGGCAGAUACCCAUGGACCUAGUUUCCAGGCCCUCCUCUGCACCAGACCAACACCACUAUACCCUAGCUCCAGGCUAGCCUUUACUAACCUAGGAACCAGUCCACCACAGUGCCAGGCUAGCCACCACAUCUCCAGACUCCAAGCCAGCAUCUGCAGACCCAGGCUCCAGGCCUGCUCUAGCACCAGGCUGGCCCCUGAAGCCCCAGGCUUCAGGCUCACUGUAGUGCUAGGGUGGCACCAACAGGCACCAGCACCAAGCCUGCUCCUGCAGCCUCAGGGUCCAGGCUGGCCCCUGGAGACUCAAGCUUCAGGCCCAACCCAGACUCCAGAUUGGCCCAGUACCAGACUGAGAUUGGCCCAGUACCACAUGGGCCCAGGCUUCAGGCGCCCCCCGCCCCAUACCAUUGCCUGGUCUGCCUCUUCAGCCCCAGACUCCAGGCCAACACUUGUGGACCUAGCCUCCAGUCUCACUCCAGCACCAGGUUGGCAUGCAUAGACCCAAGCUUGAGGCCACCCCUGACAGUCCAGCAGAAUCAGGAUCCAGGCCUGCCCCAGGAAUCUCAGUAACCAUAACGGUAUGAAUCUAGAAAU